UACGUAGGCAGCAAGCGUUGUUCGGAGUUACUGGGCGUAAAGGGUGCGUAGGCGGCUUUUUAAGUUUGGUGUGAAAUCUCCCGGCUCAACUGGGAGGGUGCGCCGAAUACUGAGAGGCUAGAGUGCGGGAGAGGAAAGUGGAAUUCCCAGUGUAGAGGUGAAAUUCGUAGAUAUUGGGAAGAACACCAGUGGCGAAGGCGGCUCUCUGGACCGUAACUGACGCUGAGGCGCGAAAGCGUGGGUAGCAAACAGG
rnacentral:rRNA from 1 species